rnacentral:rRNA from 1 species
UACGUAGGGUGCGAGCGUUGUCCGGAAUUAUUGGGCGUAAAGCGCACGUAGGCGGUAUUGCAAGUCGGAUGUGAAAUCCCUCGGCUUAACCAAGGAAGUGCAUCCGAAACUGCUGUACUUGAGUACGAAAGAGGAUCGCGGAAUUCCCGGUGUAGAGGUGAAAUUCGUAGAUAUCGGGAGGAACACCAGUGGCGAAGGCGGCGAUCUGGGUCGAUACUGACGCUGAGGUGCGAAAGCGUGGGGAGCAAACAGG